GCCUGUCUUGGGACAGCACGGCGAGGUCAGGGGAAAGGUGUGCUCCUCCCAUAGUGCCUGUCCCUCCGUAAUGCUCUCCUGGUGCAAAUUUCCAUUCCCAAAGUGAGCUGCUCGCUCCUUGUGUGUGGGGACUUCCAAUUUUCUCCCUAUGCAGUGAUGAUUGCAGCAAAAGCUGUAAGGGGGAGAGGGAAGUCUUUGCGAAAUGAUAACCCCAGGGGUAAAUCUUCAACAGAAUAUGCACAGCUUCAGCUGUGCAACUGUCAUUUACAUUAAUGGGAGUCAUGCAGCUAAAUAACCUCACUGGAAACACCCCAGUCCCCAGCUGCCUGGUAUAAAUAAUAAAAUAAUGUAAAAAAAAAAAAAACAAAAAAAAAAACAAAAAAAAAACAGAGGGGAAGGAACAAAAAGGUUCUGUUCUCCCACCACAGGAGUCCAAGGGACCUGUGGCAGAAGCAGAAAUGUCACUCGUCCCUCACCCGUCGCUGUGUGGGGCAGCAGGGAAUAAACAUUCGUGAUGCUGGGGGAAGGCCGGCAGCUCUCUGGGCAUAUGUUACUGUAAAUUUGAAAUCAGAGCCUCUGAGGGGAUGCAAAAUGACAAACCCAGCCGCCGGUGGGGGUGCUGGCUGCCAGCAGAGUGAAGUGUCGAUUAUUUCCCAUUUGUGAAAGGACGUGGCUUUCUGCAGCCAGACCGACGCGCGUGUCCCCAUCCCUGCCACACGCGGGCUGGCGUAAAAGCAGGGCACUGGGAAAUGCUGUUUGCAAGCCUCCUUCAUCGGGGACCGAGACCAGAGGUGUCUUUUUUAUUCCUUUUCCAUGGGAUGCAGCUCGGCAGCAUCGAACAGCUCGGGAGAAGAAGGUGGUUUAUAAACUGAGCUCUUGGAGCGCGUGCGUGUAAAUAAACCAGAUGGUGAGGGUGUUUACAUUAGCACUCAUGCUGGAAGUGCUUAGAUUAUCUUCCUUUUCAGCUAAAUUAGGGACCAAUUGGGGCCGGGAGUAUCGCUUUAACAACCACUGUUCUUCCUGCUGCUGGAGAACGGGGGCUGUUGCCUCCCGUGGAAAGCUUUAUUCAUCAGAAGUUUCUCCUGGUCCAAAUGAAAUCUUCUAUAUUUGGGGUCCUGGCAAGUCAGGGCACUUCAGGAGUGCUGGUGGCUGCUUAAUCAGAGGGCCCUGGUGAGGCUCAGUCAUCCUAAACCAGUCAUCAAGGCCAUGAGUCAUGUCACAGGUGGGCUCCAGUGAUUCAAGGAUGAGACGCUCCGUCCUGAUGCAUUCCAUGAUAUUAUUACCCAGAAGAAAUCUCAUUCAAAAGAAGUGCUUCUAAGCCGUGUAUCCCACCUCCUCCACUCGAGAUAGCAGCCUCCUCUCAGACAGCCGCCUGCUGAGCUGCUUGGAGGAGUGAGAGAUGCUUUUUUUUUUUUUUUUUUUUUUUCCUACUUGACCUCCACUUGCUUGCCAUCUACCCAGGCUUGCGUCCAAAGGCUUUACCCUGCUGGCUGGGACAACAUCACCCUCUGGGGAAAAAGGACUCGGACACAACCAGAGUGCUGCUUCUUUGAUGCUUUCUCCACCACCACGUGGGCUCCACAUGAGGCUGUGCUUGGGCAUACCUUCCAGCUGAGCUGCAGCAGGCUGCAAAGAGGGAGAGCCCAGCUCUCACUCACUUGGCAGGAAGGGAGCAAGAGAUGUUUUCAUCUCCAGCCUCGACCUCCAGCAGCUCUUCUGAACUUGGUUGUUCCUGAGCACCAGGGAGAAGAGAUGCCAGCGGCUGACGGGGAGGCACAGAGGCUCCUGCAGAGAGAUGCCCUGGAGCUCCCGGUGCGGUAGUGACUGCUCCCUCCUGGUACAAAGCCGUCCUUUCCCCAGACACACUCAUUCACGCGUUUCCCUGGGAGAUGGAAACUCAACAGACUGCACAUUUUUUGGUUGAAAGCUUUGGAAUUGCCCGAUAAUUAAUCGCAGUAAAAAUAGGUUAAAAAUAGUGUUAGACUCCUGGGGGAUGCCUUGCUUUCUAAUUAACAGACAACCAUCUCCCUCCUCAGGCACGCUCCCUCCCCUCCUGCCCCUUAUUCCUGCAGCACAUCCCUCCUGAGGAGAGGAGAGGAGAGGAGAGGAGAGGAGAGGAGAGGACAGGACAGGACAGGACAGGACAGGACAGGACAGGACA